rnacentral:rRNA from 1 species
GUGACAGCCGCCGCGGUAAUACGGAGGAUCCAAGCGUUAUCCGGAUUUAUUGGGUUUAAAGGGUGUGCAGGCGGGUUGAUAAGUCAGCGGUGAAAGUUUGCAGCUUAACUGUAAAAUUGCCGUUGAAACUGUCGAUCUUGAGUGCAAAUGAGGUAAGCGGAAUGUGUUGUGUAGCGGUGAAAUGCUUAGAUAUAACACAGAACACCGAUUGCGAAGGCAGCUUACUGGGAUGCAACUGACGCUCAUGCACGAAAGCGUGGGGAUCAAACAGGAUUAGAUACCCUGGUAGUCCACGCAGUAAACGAUGAAUACUAACUGUUUGCGAUAUACAGUAAGCGGUACAGCGAAAGCGUUAAGUAUUCCACCUGGGGAGUACAUUCGCAAGAAUGAAACUCAAAGGAAUUGACGGGGGCCCGCACAAGCGGAGGAACAUGUGGUUUAAUUCGAUGAUACGCGAGGAACCUUACCCGGGCUUGAAAUGCUAUCGACGGACUUGGAAACAGGUCUUCCAGCAAUGGCGAUAGUGUAGGUGCUGCAUGGUUGUCGUCAGCUCGUGCCGUGAGGUGUCGGCUUAAGUGCCAUAACGAGCGCAACCCUUAUCAUUAGUUACUAACAGGUCACGCUGAGGACUCUAAUGAGACUGCCACCGUAAGGUGUGAGGAAGGUGGGGAUGACGUCAAAUCAGCACGGCCCUUACGUCCGGGGCGACACACGUGUUACAAUGGGGGGUACAGAGGGUCGCUACCACGCGAGUGGAUGCCAAUCUCGUAAAGCCUCUCUCAGUUCGGAUCGGAGUCUGCAACUCGACUCCGUGAAGCUGGAUUCGCUAGUAAUCGCGCAUCAGCCAUGGCGCGGUGAAUACGUUCCCGGGCCUUGUACACACCGCCCGUCAAGCCAUGGAAGCCGGGGGGACCUAAAGUACGUAACCGCAAGGAGCGUCCUAGGGUAAAACUGGUGACUGGGGCUAAGUCGUAACAAGGUAACC